rnacentral:misc_RNA from 1 species
GAUGAAGAACGCAGCGAAAUGCGAUAAGUAGUGUGAAUUGCAGAAUUCAGUGAAUCAUCGAAUCUUUGAACGCACAUUGCGCCCCUUGGUACUCCAUGGGGCAUGCCUGUUCGAGCGUCAUUUACACCCUCAAGCUCAGCUUGGUGUUGGGCGUCUGUCCCGCUUCGUGCACGGACUCGCCUCAAAUGCAUUGGCAGCGGUCUUGCCAGCUUCUCGCGCAGCACAUUGCGCUUCUAGAGGCUUUGGCGGAUCGGCGUCCAUCAAGUACACCCACAGUUUGACCUCGGAUCAGGUAGGGAUACCCGCUGAACUUAAGCAUAUCAAUAAGCGGAGGA